UACACUUCGUUUGGUUUAGGAAUAAAGGAGGAUAACCUCUUGUCCCUUCCUUAAUUUAUAUCCAAACACAAAUUUUUGUAUUCGAGAACAGUAGUUCUCGAGUUCCUAAAAUAAACUAGUAUAAUCUGGUAUAAGUUUGUUCCACCAUUUUUUUUGGAACAAGCAUGUUCACAAGUGGGAACAAGAUUAAUUAAAGUCUAAAUUUAAGUUUAAAUAUGAUAUUAAAUUAUUAUUUAAUCUAAUUAAUAUAUUAAACUAUUAUCCAUAGCUUAAAUUUUAAAGUAAUUAAUUAAUUUAUUACUUAUAAUUAAUUAGCUAAUUAAUUAUUAAUAAUUUAAUAUGUUUAUACAUAAACUAAUAUUUAUAUUGAUUAAUCAUUAAUAUUUUUAAUAAUCUAAUUAAUUUUUUUACUAAUUAUCUAACUAAAAUACUUUGUUAACUGAUUAAAAUUUUAAAUUAUUUUUUAUAUUUAAUUAAUUGAUUAAUAUAUUUUUAUUAUCUUAUACAAUAUUUAUAGCUAAUAAAUUUAUUAAUUUACUAAAUUAUUUGUUAAUUAAUAUUUUGAUGUUAAUUAAUUGCAUAAAAUAUUUUUAAUUUAAAAUUAUAGCUCUUAUUCCUCGUGUUCUAUUCUAACCAUACAAAUACUAUUUAUCUGUUUUUCAAAAUAAACUCAAUUUUUUUCUAAACACAAAAUUAGUUUAGUUCAUGUUUAUACCUGAACUUAUAUCUAUCUGAAAUAAGCAGUUCUUAUUUAUAUCCGAACCUGACGCAACCCUCGUGUUCACGGUUCAUCCAUCCUAUCAUCGUUAUUACAAAAAUAUUUUUAUUAUUAUAUUUUUUUAUUAAAAUGAGAAAUAUAAUUAGCUUGAUUAUGGAUAAUGUGUUAGAUAGUAAAUUUU
rnacentral:lncRNA from 1 species